CGGAGGCAGCAGUGAGGAAUCUUCGGCAAUGGGGGCAACCCUGACCGAGCAACGCCGCGUGAGUGAAGAAGGUUUUCGGAUCGUAAAGCUCUGUUGUAAGAGAAGAACGUGUGUGAGAGUGGAAAGUUCACACAGUGACGGUAACUUACCAGAAAGGGACGGCUAACUACGUGCCAGCAGCCGCGGUAAUACGUAGGUCCCGAGCGUUGUCCGGAUUUAUUGGGCGUAAAGCGAGCGCAGGCGGUUUAAUAAGUCUGAAGUUAAAGGCAGUGGCUUAACCAUUGUUCGCUUUGGAAACUGUUAAACUUGAGUGCAGAAGGGGAGAGUGGAAUUCCAUGUGUAGCGGUGAAAUGCGUAGAUAUAUGGAGGAACACCGGUGGCGAAAGCGGCUCUCUGGUCUGUAACUGACGCUGAGGCUCGAAAGCGUGGGGAGCAAACAGGAUUAGAUACCCGUGUAGUCA
rnacentral:rRNA from 1 species